AAUCAACGCUGGCGGCGUGCCUAACACAUGCAAGUCGAACGAGAAAGUGGAGCAAUCCACAAGUAAAGUGGCGCACGGGUGAGUAACACGUGACUAACCUACCCUUGAGUGGGGGAUAACCUAGGGAAACCUGGGCUAAUACCGCAUAAUACCUAUGGGUCAAAGGAGCAAUUCGCUUUUGGAGGGGGUCGCGGCAGAUUAGUUAGUUGGCAGGGUAAUGGCCUACCAAGACGAUGANCUGUAUCCGGCCUGAGAGGGCGCACGGACACACUGGAACUGAAACACGGUCCAGACUCCUACGGGAGGCAGCAGUGGGGAAUUUUGCGCAAUGGGGGAAACCCUGACGCAGCAACGCCGCGUGGAGGAUGAAGACCCUUGGGUCGUAAACUCCUUUCGAUCGGGACGAUAAUGACGGUACCGGAAGAAGAAGCCCCGGCUAACUUCGUGCCAGCAGCCGCCGUAAU
rnacentral:rRNA from 1 species